UUACAAUGGAGAGUUUGAUCCUGGCUCAGGAUGAACGCUAGCGGCAGGCCUAAUACAUGCAAGUCGAACGGGUAGUAGCAAUACUACUAGUGGCGCACGGGUGCGUAACGCGUAACCAACCUGCCCUGAACUGGGGGAUAGCCCGCCGAAA
rnacentral:rRNA from 1 species